CUUUAGCUCCUCCUGAUUUGGAUAAUAUGUGAGAUACUGCAGCAAUGGGACUUCAGUUGCCCCUGUUGACAUUGGCUCAGAGUGUUGCAUUGCCUCGGGCGACUCA